ACAGAAUAGAGAAUUAUAAGGACAAUUUAUAAUGAGUAGAGAAAAUUAAAUAGUUUUUACAGAUACACUUUAAAGAACUGCCAUCUAGACUCACAUAUUUGUACAAAUCCUUGAUAAACUAUAAUGUGGUAAUAAUAAAUAAGCUUUAUUUCAAGUCUGCAAGAUAUAGAGACAACAUAAGCUCUAAUGAGCUUUUAACCAUACAAGACAUUUAUAGCA
rnacentral:lncRNA from 1 species